AAAUAAGAAACAAACCAAUUGUAUUUAAUUUCGACUUAAAAUUUAGAAUAAAUCUGUUAUUCCUUAUUUU
rnacentral:tRNA from 1 species